GAUGAACGCUGGCGGCGUGCUUAACACAUGCAAGUCGAACGGGGAUGGUACAUGCGAGGGAGUAGUUUACUAUGACCAGACAAGUGCCAUCCUAGUGGCGGACGGGUGAGUAACGCGUGGGCAACCUGCCCUGUACAGGGGGAUAACACUUAGAAAUAGGUGCUAAUACCGCAUGAGCGCACAAAGGCGCAUGCCUAUGUGCGGGAAGCCCGCGAGGGCGGUACGGGAUGGGCCCGCGUCUGAUUAGCCAGUUGGCAGGGUAACGGCCUACCAAAGCGACGAUCAGUAGCCGGCCUGAGAGGGUGGACGGCCACAUUGGGACUGAGACACGGCCCAA
rnacentral:rRNA from 1 species